CACAUACGGGUAGUCACUGAGAAGAGGACAGCUGGCUACAAAUAUCAACAGGCUUUAACGGUCUUCUUUCCUUCAAGUCCAGUUCUUUGAAAGUCCAAAUUUGCUCUGAACUGACUUCAAGCAAGUGCCCACUCUCCAACAAAUUACUGAGGCUGGAGGAUAAAGACACAAAUUGGCCAAACUUGGAUUACCUGCCUUCUGCAUCUUAAAGGAGUCAGUCCCAACUAUAAAUUUAAGAGGAUCACGGAAACACCCACAAACUUAUGAGGAUCACAGAAAACACCCCUACACCAACUUAUAGCCAAUCUAUUCAACGUGCAUUGUUAGCAGGAGGAGAUUUUUCAGCUUUUGAAGUCUGCAUACCUUCAAGUAAAUUCUUCAAAAACAGCCAAGACAUUUUAAGAUGAGGAGCUACAGAACAGUGCUCAAGAUGAGACUUUAUUUCCCCGCAUUAAUGCAAUGGCCUUAUUCU
rnacentral:lncRNA from 1 species